rnacentral:rRNA from 1 species
GAUGAACGCUGGCGGCGUGCCUAACACAUGCAAGUCGAACGAAGCGACUGGAGGAAGUUUUCGGAUGGAAUCCGGUUGACUGAGUGGCGGACGGGUGAGUAACGCGUGGAUAACCUGCCUCACACUGGGGGAUAACAGUUAGAAAUGGCUGCUAAUACCGCAUAAGCGCACAGUACCGCAUGGUACGGUGUGAAAAACCCAGGUGGUGUGAGAUGGAUCCGCGUCUGAUUAGCCAGUUGGCGGGGUAACGGCCCACCAAAGCGACGAUCAGUAGCCGACCUGAGAGGGUGACCGGCCACAUUGGGACUGAGACACGGCCCAAACUCCUACGGGAGGCAGCAGUGGGGAAUAUUGCACAAUGGGCGGAAGCCUGAUGCAGCGACGCCGCGUGAGUGAAGAAGUAUCUCGGUAUGUAAAGCUCUAUCAGCAGGGAAGAAAAUGACGGUACCUGACUAAGAAGCCCCGGCUAACUACGUGCCAGCAGCCGCGGUAAUACGUAGGGGGCAAGCGUUAUCCGGAUUUACUGGGUGUAAAGGGAGCGUAGACGGCGACGCAAGUCUGGAGUGAAAGCCCGGGGCCCAACCCCGGGACUGCUUUGGAAACUGUGCUGCUGGAGUGCAGGAGAGGUAAGUGGAAUUCCUAGUGUAGCGGUGAAAUGCGUAGAUAUUAGGAGGAACACCAGUGGCGAAGGCGG